CAGUCGCCGCGGUAAUACAGAGGGUGCGAGCGUUAAUCGGAUUUACUGGGCGUAAAGCGCGCGUAGGUGGUUCGCCAAGUUGGAUGUGAAAUCCCCGGGCUCAACCUGGGAACUGCAUCCAAAACUGGCGAGCUAGAGUAUGGUAGAGGGUGGUGGAAUUUCCUGUGUAGCGGUGAAAUGCGUAGAUAUAGGAAGGAACAUCAGUGGCGAAGGCGACCACCUGGACUGAUACUGACACUGAGGUGCGAAAGCGUGGGGAGCAAACAGGAUUAGAUACCCCUGUAGUCCCUGUCUCUUAUAA
rnacentral:rRNA from 1 species